rnacentral:tRNA from 1 species
CGGGCUGUCGUAUAGUGGUAGUACGCGCCCAUGGGGUGGGUGCAGUCCGGGUUCGAUUCCCGGCAGCCCGA